CUUCUUUUUCUUUAGUGGUGAAGCCCUUGAUUGUGGAAGAUACAUAUCUUCUCUGCACUGCACCAGUACUUCAAGAUGAGGGAAUGGCAGCAAACCUUUAUGUCAGUAUGAACGAAGGUCUCAGUUUCAUCUCCAGUUCGGUCACCAUUACCACUGUGGGCUGUUCUGAUGGGACCAUCCUGGCCAUAGCGCUGCUCAUCCUGAUGCUGCUCCUGGUCCUGGCUCUCCUGUGGUGGUUCUGGCCUCUCUGCUGCACUG